CACGUCUGGUUAGCUAUCCUUGUAGGGAGUCUAGGGACUUUUAUAAGCGUAAUGGUUUUUAUACUGUACAAACCGAAGUUUUCUAAUUCUUGCUUAACUCAGUCUAAGUCAAGUAAAACCUUUCUACUUAGAACAGUGAUGAAAAUUGUGCCAUAAAAAUCAGAAACACGGUGCAGUGGUCUGAGGUUCGCAGUCCCCCGGCUGAACACCAGCACCGGCUCAGAUUUCAGCAGUGUAGCUGUACACAACGGCACGAAAACCAGUGCCAUUUCGGUUGAUUAGCCUACUCUUCAAUUAAAAUAGAGUGGCCACGUCCCAUGCAUUUGCAUGGUGGUUAAAUCCACUACUGGCAACUCCCCGUUUAAAGCAUCUGCUUUCCAUUUUAAUGCAUUUAACCCAACUUUUAAAAAGAAAUCACCAAAGGAACUGAAUCACUGAGGUCACAGAGCUAAACAAUGUGGACAUGAUGGCAGACAACACUAAUGUCAAUGCGAAAGAAAGGCUCAGACAGAGCAAAGACACUCUGUAAGUCGUACAAAUAAAAGUAAACCUUUAUAUAUUUAAGUCUUUCCUCUGUACUGGUUCUUCUUCUUUUCUAGUCAGUCUUGAAAACACAUCAGUGCCAGUAACAGAAGCCAGUACCUCAGAUGACAAUGUGAUAUUUAUUUCAUCCUCCAAGAUUUGAAUGUGCAUUUCCUCCUUGAUGUUUAAUUCGGUCAAGUAACACCUGUCUACUCAGAACAGAGAAUCAUGAGCAUCAUGCCAUAAAAGUCAGGAGCUCAAUCACAAACCUCACAGAGCUGAAGAAUAUGGACAUGAUGGCAGAGAACACUGACGUUAAUGUGAAAGACAAGGAGAGACAGAGCAAAGACUAUUCUAAUAACUUCUGUUUCAAAAACACAUCAAUGCCAAUAACAGAUGACUCGGUGUUUAAAUGUUGGUGUCAUGAGGUUUUCAUACCAAACCAAAGACCAGAGAGAUGCAGUCCAGGAUCGGAUGAGACACCAUCUGGUAAGUCAUCUGAAAGAAACUCUAUCAGCUCCAUCGAUUCAUUUGACUCAGGAUAUGAUUCAAAAAGAUGCACACGCAUUUUCGCCAUCUCUGAAUUUGAUGAAUGUAACAAACAAAAUCCUUUAUGAACUUCGAACAAGACCAGCAGGACAGACAUUAGCCACUGCUAAAGUUUCAAUGUCCACAGGUGACACUCCAAAUAUCCGAACAAUGACCAGCCAUGAAUUGGUUUGUGAUUCAGUCAGAAUUAUUUGGAAAGAUCACUUAUACACUCUGAAACAUUCAGAAUAGUUUCUCAAUCGAUCAACAGUAACAAAGUACAUUACCCUGAUCAGAUUUGUGAAAUUAUAUUCAUUUAUGAAUAUCCAUGAUAUGACUAUGAAUAUCCCUGAAUUUAUCUUUAUUUAUCAUUAGAUCAGCUAAGCAUUAUAUAAUUUUUGUGAACAUUAUUAAAGUUGUAAAGAGAUGUCAGUAAGAGCAUAAACUAUACCUCACAUUUCACACUGGGGUCAUAUUGUCAUUUAUAAGUUCUACUAAAGUCAAGGCUUAGUUCUUGAAAAUUAUGUCAUGUGAUUUUCAUCCAGUAGACUGAAAAGGAAUAUAUUGCUAUGACAAAUAUCUAAAAACGUGCAUACAGGCAUCUGAAGUGAAACAUUGCUAGAGCUUGCAAUGUAGAUCAUGCUGCACGUCACACACAAACACCCUUCUGUUGUAAAGACCUUGUUUUACCUGUUGUGCUAUUAUAGAAAGUAUCUGUUGUAACUAUCUGUUUUUUUUUAUGUAUGUAUAUACUGUAUGUUUUGUCCACUGAAUGUCCAAGCAAUUGUCCAAGUUUGGGGAUUUUGUUUUUAAAAAAACAUCAAUGUUUUUGAACAGCUUGUGUAUUUUAUACAGUACUUUAUUAAAUGAAAUGCAUUUUGUAAUGCAUGUUUAAAUUCAUCUUGAGGUCAAAGAAUUAUUUUCAGUGUAAAAGUCUUUAUCUUGACUAUAUUAUUUAAAAAAUAAACACU